rnacentral:rRNA from 1 species
GACGUAGGGCGCGAGCGUUGUCCGGAUUUAUUGGGCGUAAAGAGCUCGUAGGCGGCUUGUCGCGUCGACUGUGAAAACCCGCGGCUCAACCGCGGGCCUGCAGUGGGUACGGGCAGACUAGAGUGCGGUAGGGGAGAUUGGAAUUCCUGGUGUAGCGGUGAAAUGCGCAGAUAUCGGGAGGAACACCUAUGGCGAAGGCAGCUCGCUGGGACGUUACUGACGCUGAGACGCGAAAGCGUGGGGAGCAA